rnacentral:misc_RNA from 1 species
GAAAUGCGAUAAGUAAUGUGAAUUGCAGAAUUCAGUGAAUCAUCGAAUCUUUGAACGCACCUUGCGCUCUUUGGUAUUCCGAAGAGCAUGCCUGUUUGAGUGUCGUGAAAUUCUCAACCUUCUGGCUUUUUUACAAGUUCAGUAAGGCUUGGAUUUGGAGGUUGCUGGCUUCUCAGAAAUCAGCUCUUCUUAAAUGUAUUAGCAAAAUCUUUGCUGACCAUCAAUGGUAUGAUAAUUAUCUAUAUCAUUGAGAAUCGGCUUCCGUCUUGGAGGGUUUUGCUUCUAAUGGUCUAUUAUAAGACAACUUGACAAUUUGACCUCAAAUCAGGUAGGACUACCCGCUGAACUUAA